CUUGGAAGUCAUCCUUGCAGAAGCCUUCAGGAUGCAUCUCUCCAUUACAAGGGUGUUCUUCAACUGGAAGAGAAUUAUCAAGGAAUAGCUUUUCUCCAUUGAAACAAAGUGUCUCCGAA
rnacentral:lncRNA from 12 species